CGUCGCAUGCUCCCGGGCUCCAUGGCGGCCGCGGGAAUUCGAUUGUAUUACCGCGGCUGCUGGCACAUAGUUAGUCGUCGCUUCCUCGGCACGUACCGUCAAGGUGAUUACUCACCCUUCUUCCGCACCCGACAGAAGUUUACGAUCUCAACGAGACCUUCCUCCUUCACGUAGUAUUGCUCGAUCAAGCUUUCGCUCAUUGUCAAAUAUUCUUCACUGCUGCUUCCCGUAGGAAAAGGGGCCGUGUCUCAGUCCCCCUGUGGCCAUACAUCCUCUCAGACUGGCUACGCAUCCUCGCCUUGUUGAGCCUUUACCUCAACAACUAGCUAAUACGAUUUAUCCUUAUCGGUUAGCGAAAACUACUAGAGUUCCCUUUAAUUAUCCAAACGAAUGGAUAACAAAUGCGGUAUUUUAUCCCCCACUAACCGGCAAAUCAGAUAAACAUUACUCACCCGUUCGCCGCUAAGGUCAGCAUUGCUGCCUUCCUUCGCUCGACUUGCAUGUGUUAAUCAUACUACCAACGUUAAUCCUGAGCCAUGAUCAAACUCUAAUCACUAGUGAAUUCGCGGCCGCCUGCAGGUCGACCAUAUGGGAGAGCUCCCAACGCGU
rnacentral:rRNA from 1 species